AACAACCCUUACCCAGUCGCCCCUUACCCGUCUCCCUCGGUCCCUCGCGCCGCCUUGCCUCCCGCCCGCCGCCCGUGCAGCCGCGCAGGUGGCCGCCGCUGCUCCUUCCCGGCUCCCGCUCACCGAGCGCGCAGGUGGCCGCCGCCGUCCCCUACCACCGCCGCCCGCACAUGUGGCCGCCACAACCCCUCCCGCCCGGUGCCCACGUAGCGACGGGGACAACAAGGUGCGGAGGCCUACAAGCGGCAGCGGCAGAGCCUCCACUCCAACGACGUAGCAGCCCGCAGGGCACUCCCGCUUGCAGUUUGCAGCAGGCAGCAGCGGGCCGGAGCUUCCUCCUCCCCUUGCGAAUCGACGGCGACGGUUCCUCCUCACGUGGAUCCGCGACGACUCCUCAACUUGGGAGCCAGGACAAGCGGCGCCUCUUCCCGAGGAGCUGGCGGCGGACUUGACUGGUGGCUCUAUGUGGAACGGUGAUUUGUUAGUGCUCGAUCUGUGCAUUCCUGGUCUAUUCUUGAUCUAUUAGGACAUGAUCUGUUAGUUAUCGAUCUAUUAGUAAUUAAUUAGUACUACUUGUGACAAUUGAUUAGUAGAGUGCUUGAUCUGUGAGACAUGGCAAUAUAAAUUUGCGCUAAAUUUGUUGCUCAUCAUAACUAAAUAUCUGAACUACUAGUCAGAAUCAGUUCUAGAGUUAGCUAGGUUCAGGAUCAUGGGUGCUAAUUUUUGUUCCUGAACUUCUCUUGUUGAAAUCUGCAAGAUAGUAUGAGGCGUUGGCAUGGCUGCUUCGAAAUAAACAACUCAAUAUCUGUUCAUAUGGCUCAGUAUUGCAUCUCACUUCUGGUUAUUGAGUAACUUGAUGCCGCACCAGAGUAUUGGCAUCAGAAAUUCAGAUAUUACAAAAUGGAGUUAAUUCUUAAUCUUGUAAUGCUGGGAGGAAUGCCCUCAUGUUUGGAACUCAGUAAAAUAGAGUAAGUUCUGUCGCUUCAAUUGAGUGUUCUUUUUUACUUCCAUGGUUAUUAUACUGCCAUGUAGCCAAUAUCCUCAGUUGAUUUAAUUUCUGGAUGGAUUUUUCUAUGUUUUGACUUGCCAGUACCAUGGUAUUUUUUUAUCACAUUAGCAAUUGUUUCUGCCAGCUCAGUCCAAAGGUAUGCAUAUACACAGUUGAUUUCUUUGCAAUUCAGCCAAUGAAACUGAUUGUGAUCUAACAUCAGGUGAAAAGCAUUGAUUCCAAUGAGCUAUAAGCAGGAUGUCUGACUCCUACAUGAAUCUUCAGCUUGCUACCACACAGGAGUACAUUGAUGGGCAAUUCUCUGGGAACCUUGGAGAGAUUUUGAUCAGAAAAUGUCAGUAUGAUGCACUCUUUAAAAAGAUUGACGACCUCUCUCAAGCAGAAGUGGACGUCCUCCCUUGAGCAGCAAAGACCACCUCCAUAUCUUUUCCACCAGCAACGAGAAACAAGCCACCAGGGAACUGAGCAAGAUCUGGAAUUGAUUGAAAAAACCCUUGUACCUGAUAAUCGGCGAACUGGAAGAUGCUCCAUUGUUAGAGAACAUAGGUCCUAUUUGUGAUUUGUGGUCUUAUACUGCAUAGGUAAUUAAGGAAGCAAAUAUGUGGCUGAGUGCACCAUCACUAGUGUACAUCUCAUGUAAGUUACAUUUGCUAGCACAAAUGAUCUAUGGCUGUCUGGAUUGAUAUGUUUUCCUGACAAAAUAGCAAGGUUGUGUGGAUUGAUUUGUUGUCUCGACAAAAUAGCUGAAUGGUUGUAUUCUGCUGGGUCUUGUUGGGCCUUGAAAGUUGUCAAGUACAAAUGGGUUUUUUUAGGUCA